rnacentral:rRNA from 1 species
UACAGGGGGGGGCAAGCGUUGUUCGGAAUUACUGGGCGUAAAGGGCCAGUAGGCGGCCAACUAAGUCCGACGUGAAAUCCCCAGGCUUAACCUGGGAACUGCGUCGGAUACUGGAUGGCUUGAAUUCGGGAGAGGGAUGCAGAAUUCCAGGUGUAGCGGUGAAAUGCGCAGAUAUCAGGAGGAACACCGGUGGCGAAGGCGGGUCUCUGGGCCGAUACUGACGCUGGAGGAGCGAAAGCGUGGGGAGCGAACAGG